CAGGCUUCACUGUCACAGGCUUCACUGUCACAGGCUUCACUGUCACAGGUUCUCACUGUCACAGGCUUCACUGUCACAGGCUUCACUGUCGCAGGCUUCACUGUCACAGGCUUCACUGUCACAGGCUCUCACUGUCACAGGCUUCACUGUCACAGGCUUCACUGUCACAGGCUCUCACUGUCACAAGCUCUCACUGUCACAGGUUCUCACUGUCACAGGCUUCACUGUCACAGGCUCUCACUGUCACAGGCUCUCACUGUCACAGGCUCUCACUGUCACAGGCUUCACUGUCACAGGCUUCACUGUCACAGGCUCUCACUAUCACAGCCUUCACUGUCACAGGCUCUCACUGUCACAGGCUUCACUGUCACAGG
rnacentral:lncRNA from 1 species